GACGAACGCUGGCGGCGUGCCUAAUACAUGCAAGUUGAGCGCUGAAGGUUGGUACUUGUACCAACUGGAUGAGCAGCGAACGGGUGAGUAACGCGUGGGGAAUCUGCCUUUGAGCGGGGACAACAUUUGGAAACGAAUGCUAAUACCGCAUAAAAACUUUAAACACAAGUUUUAAGUUUGAAAGAUGCCAUUGCAUCACUCAAAGAUGAUCCCGCGUUGUAUUAGCUAGUUGGUGAGGUAAAGGCCCACCAAGGCGAUGAUACAUAGCCGACCUGAGAGGGUGAUCGGCCACAUUGGGACUGAGACACGGCCCAAACUCCUACGGGAGGCAGCAGUAGGGAAUCUUCGGCAAUGGACGAAAGUCUGACCGAGCAACGCCGCGUGAGUGAAGAAGGUUUUCGGAUCGUAAAACUCUGUUGGUAGAGAAGAACGUUGGUGAGAGUGGAAAGCUCAUCAAGUGACGGUAACUACCCAGAAAGGGACGGCUAACUACGUG
rnacentral:rRNA from 1 species